CCUACGGGAGGCAGCAGUGAGGAAUAUUGGUCAAUGGGCGAGAGCCUGAACCAGCCAAGUCGCGUGAGGGAAGACGGUCCUAUGGAUUGUAAACCUCUUUUGCCGGGGAGCAAAACGCGGUACGUGUACCGCAUCGAGAGUACCCGGAGAAAAAGCAUCGGCUAACUCCGUGCCAGCAGCCGCGGUAAUACGGAGGAUGCGAGCGUUAUCCGGAUUUAUUGGGUUUAAGGGGUGCGCAGGCGGCGGGUUAAGUCAGCGGUAAAAUUUCGGGGCUCAACCCCGACGAGCCGUUGAAACUGGCGUGCUAGAGUGGGCGAGAAGUAUGCGGAAUGCGUGGUGUAGCGGUGAAAUGCAUAGAGAUCACGCAGAACUCCGAUUGCGAAGGCAGCAUACCAAGCUACUUCUGACGUUGAGGCACGAAAGCGUGGGGAGCAAACAGGAUUAGAUACCCCAGUAGUC
rnacentral:rRNA from 1 species